rnacentral:rRNA from 1 species
GGAGGAACACCAGUGGCGAAGGCGGCUCACUGGCUCGAUACUGACGCUGAGGUGCGAAAGUGUGGGGAGCAAACAGGAUUAGAUACCCUGGUAGUCCACACCGUAAACGAUGAAUGCCAGACGUCGGGCAGUAUACUGUUCGGUGUCACACCUAACGGAUUAAGCAUUCCGCCUGGGGAGUACGGUCGCAAGAUUAAAACUCAAAUGAA